rnacentral:rRNA from 1 species
GACGAACGCUGGCGGCGUGCCUAAUACAUGCAAGUCGAACGAGAGCGACCGGUGCUUGCACUGGUCAAUCUAGUGGCGAACGGGUGAGUAACACGUGGGUAACCUGCCCAUCAGAGGGGGAUAACAUCCGGAAACGGAUGCUAAAACCGCAUAGGUCUUCGAACCGCAUGGUUUGAAGAGGAAAAGAGGCGCAAGCUUCUGCUGAUGGAUGGACCCGCGGUGCAUUAGCUAGUUGGUGAGGUAACGGCUCACCAAGGCCGUGAUGCAUAGCCGACCUGAGAGGGUGAUCGGCCACACUGGGAUUGAGACACGGCCCAAACUCCUACGGGAGGCAGCAGUAGGGAAUCUUCCGCAAUGGACGCAAGUCUGACGGAGCAACGCCGCGUGAGUGAAGAAGGUUUUCGGAUCGUAAAACUCUGUUGUUAGAGAAGAACAAGUGCUAGAGUAACUGUUAGCGCCUUGACGGUAUCUAACCAGAAAGCCACGGCUAACUACGUG